AUGGCAGGCUGGGCAGGGCACUUCCACCACAGCCAGUUCAGCCCGUGUUCAGAGCUGCAGCCUCAAGGGUGCCCCUUGCCUCCCUUUCCCUGUUUUCUCUACCUUUGUCUCCACUGGAAUCCUUGGUUCCACUGGAAUGCCCUGGAAUCCUGCACAGGUGUCCCAGCUGCUUUGUCUCUCUUGGAUUGCUCACUCUGCACAAGGCCAAGAGCAAACACACUUUGCUAUUCCUCCGAACCUUGCCCCUGCCAUUCCUGCUUUUUUCUCUGCUUGGAAGAUUCCUUCACUUCUGUCAGCUUUGGAAGAUUUUGUGGGCUUAAGACCAGGCAAACCCAGUCAGGCAGAGAAGACAGUGCUGUUGUCACUUUGCAGAGCCUCCCUCAUCUCAAGGAGGACAUUCAUCUCCUCUCUGACGCCUUGGAGUUCUUCCUUGUGCCUCCUCUGCACUGCCAGCAUUUCAUUGUGAGCUUCCUGCAGCUCAGCUUGCAGCUUUGCCUUGAUGGUCUGGCAACAAAAUGCAGAGCGACUUCCUGGGACCUGCCCUCAGGCUCAGAUUUUUGCACUUGCUGUCUCCAAACCCCAUUCCUUCAGCCACUUCUUGUGGCUUCUCGAUCCAGCUCUGCUUGCACUGCAAGCCCUCCUUCCUGGCCUGAGCUCUGGAGCUUACCAGGCUCUGUGCUCCCACAGCCUGAGGCAGCCCUUGCCCCCUCAGUCCCAGGAGCUGCCUUUUGUGCCCUUGUCCCUGCCCUGCACUCCAUUCCCUGCCUACUCAGACUUACCUGUCCCUUCUCUUGCUGCUCUUUCACCUCCUGCCUGAGCUGCUGGACCUGCUGGCACGCUUGGCUGAGCUGUCCCCGAGUUUGGAGCAGUGUCUCUGUUAAAGCCCUCUUCUCAUUCUGCUCUUCCUGCAGCACCUGCACAGAAGCAAAGAGCAGAGGGUUUCACACUUGCCUGCAACAUCUGUGUGGCAAGAGGCAAAGACGGAUGGGCUCACGCGCCCUCAGAGCACUUGGCUGCUGCUCCCCUGGGCCACUGUCUGCCCUGGGGAGCCACAGCUGCCCAGGAAGUGACUUAAAACACAGCCCAGAAGACAUCUCUGGGUUCCUCUUCAGAAAUACUCCAGAUGAGUCGUUAAAUAGAUUUUUCUCAUCCUUGUCAGCAUUUCUGCUUCACACUCCCUGUGCCCACAAAAGUCCUACAAUCUCACUUUGGCACUGA
rnacentral:lncRNA from 1 species